rnacentral:rRNA from 1 species
GUGGGGAAUUUUGGACAAUGGGCGCAAGCCUGAUCCAGCAAUGCCGCGUGCAGGAAGAAGGCCUUCGGGUUGUAAACCGCUUUUGUCAGGGAAGAAAUCCUUUGGGUUAAUACCUCGGAGGGAUGACGGUACCUGAAGAAUAAGCACCGGCUAACUACGUGCCAGCAGCCGCGGUAAUACGUAGGGUGCGAGCGUUAAUCGGAAUUACUGGGCGUAAAGCGUGCGCAGGCGGUUUUGUAAGAUCGAUGUGAAAUCCCCGGGCUCAACCUGGGAACUGCAUUGGUGACUGCAAGGCUGGAGUGCGGCAGAGGGGGAUGGAAUUCCGCGUGUAGCAGUGAAAUGCGUAGAUAUGCGGAGGAACACCGAUGGCGAAGGCAAUCCCCUGGGCCUGCACUGACGCUCAUGCACGAAAGCGUGGGGAGCAAACAGGAUUAGAAACCCGGGUAGUCC